AUCCCAUGAUGAGGAUACUUACGAAGUAACUCCUUGAAUCACUCCCAAGCCUCAUACAAAGACUCGUCAUCCAAUUGUUGGAAAAUUGUGAUCUCAUUCCUCAACUU
rfam:Gossypium hirsutum cultivar TM-1 chromosome 16, whole genome shotgun sequence